rnacentral:rRNA from 1 species
UUUAGGUCGGGACGGGGUGGGUAACGCGUGGGUAACGUGCCUGUACAGGGGGAUAACAGUCAGAAAUGACUGCUAAUACCGCAUAAGCGCACAGGACCGCAUGGUCCAGUGUGAAAAACUCCGGUGGUAUAAGAUGGACCCGCGUUGGAUUAGCUGGUUGGUGGGGUAACGGCCUACCAAGGCGACGAUCCAUAGCCGGCCUGAGAGGGUGAACGGCCACAUUGGGACUGAGACACGGCCCAG